rnacentral:rRNA from 1 species
CAAGUUCGAAGCGAAUGGAUUAAGAGCUUGCUCUUAUGAAGUUAGCGGCGGACGGGUGAGUUACACGUGGGUAACCUGCCCAUAAGACUGGGAUAACUCCGGGAAACCGGGGCUAAUACCGGAUAACAUUUUGAACCGCAUGGUUCGAAAUUGAAAGGCGGCUUCGGCUGUCACUUAUGGAUGGACCCGCGUCGCAUUAGCUAGUUGGUGAGGUAACGGCUCACCAAGGCAACGAUGCGUAGCCGACCUGAGAGGGUGAUCGGCCACACUGGGACUGAGACACGGCCCAGACUCCUACGGGAGGCAGCAGUAGGGAAUCUUCCGCAAUGGACGAAAGUCUGACGGAGCAACGCCGCGUGAGUGAUGAAGGCUUUCGGGUCGUAAAACUCUGUUGUUAGGGAAGAACAAGUGCUAGUUGAAUAAGCUGGCACCUUGACGGUACCUAACCAGAAAGCCACGGCUAACUACGUGCCAGCAGCCGCGGUAAUACGUAGGUGGCAAGCGUUAUCCGGAAUUAUUGGGCGUAAAGCGCGCGCAGGUGGUUUCUUAAGUCUGAUGUGAAAGCCCACGGCUCAACCGUGGAGGGUCAUUG